AGAUUGCUGCCUAUGCAAAGCAGGUAAGAAGCCGAACUCUGAGGCCUCUCGCCAUUGUCUCCGAGUCGGCCAGCUGGAGCGUUUUCGGGGCUGUAAAGGGAGAAUGGCGCAUGCGCAUAUUCAGGGCGGAAGGCGCGCUAAGAGCAGGUUCAAGACUGAUUUGACAUUGACAGAACAAGCUGUAUCGAUGGUAGUCAGUUCACUGGGCCUACUUCUGUGUCAAAAGAAACAGUGACAGAACCACUCAGUAUGAAGUGCAAUGAAAACUGAACUCUGAAUUGGAACAAAUAACUGGAAUUCAGUUAACUGGUUUUGCAAAAGGAUAAAUACUCAACUGGUUGUUUUCUGCCAUUUAACAAAGAGAAAAAUCAUUGGGAUUGUUUAAACUUGCUUUCACCUUUGCACCUUUCAGUUCAGGAUGCAGUGUUCAAUUGUUAACUUGGGCUUGAUGAUUCAGCA
rnacentral:lncRNA from 1 species